rnacentral:rRNA from 1 species
UACGGAGGGUGCAAGCGUUAUCCGGAUUCACUGGGUUUAAAGGGUGCGUAGGUGGGCAAGUAAGUCAGUGGUGAAAUCUCCGGGCUUAACCCGGAAACUGCCAUUGAUACUAUUUGUCUUGAAUACUGUGGAGGUCAGCGGAAUAUGUCAUGUAGCGGUGAAAUGCUUAGAUAUGACAUAGAACACCAAUUGCGAAGGCAGCUGGCUACACAAUUAUUGACACUGAGGCACGAAAGCGUGGGGAUCAAACAGG